GAUGAACGCUGGCGGCAUGCCUAACACAUGCAAGUCGAUCGGUAAGGCUCUUCGGAGUACACGAGAGGCGGACGGCUGAGUAACGCGUAGGAACACACCCUGCAGUGAGGGAUAAGACACCGAAAGGUGUUCUAAUACCGCAUACGGUCUUCGUAUUAAAGCAUUUAUGCGCUGAAGGAGUGGCCUGCGUCAUAUUAGAUAGUUGGUGAGGUAAUGGCUCACCAAGUCGAUGAUGUGUAGCUGGUCUGAGAGGAUGAUCAGCCAGACUGGAACUGAGACACGGUCCAGAAUCCUACGGGAGGCAGAAGUGAGGAAUAUGUCACAAUGAGCGAAAGCUUGAUGGAGCAAUGCCGCGUGCAGGAUGAAGGCCCUCGGGUUGUAAACUGCUUUUAUAAGAGAAGAGUAUGACGGUAACUUAUGAAUAAGGGACGGCUAACUACGUG
rnacentral:rRNA from 1 species